UUAUAUUUUUGAACCUAACAUCCAGGCUUCACACAGGCGCUGAGACUGGGACCUGGUGGGCUCCCCGGCUCGUAGCCCCUGCAGGGGCCUCCCUCUGCUGCCCUCUGCUGUCGGGGGACGGGAGGCGACGCCCUCUCUGCCCUCCCUCCCAGGCCCUGCCGCUGCCGCCCCCUCCCUUAGAAACCGAGAGAAGCUGAGGUCCCUGCCCUCCUGCCUGCCCCACCCCACAGAAAUUCCGGGGGGCUGGGGCUGCGGGAGCUUUCCGUCUAGAGAAAGCGGCCAAGCCCCAGGAGGGGGGUUCCAGUUAGCCAAGAGCAGAUCCCCACCCCUCAAGGCGGGCAUACCACGCCCUCCCUGCCGGCCGCAAUCCCUCCCUCUGCGCAGCAUCUUCUGGGAGGGGACAGGCGGCCAGGCUGUGGCAGGUUUCUGACACCGUUUUCUGCUUGGAAAUGGAAACCCUCCUUCCGGCAACGUGGCAGGAAAGCGAAGUCCCUGGGCAACCCGGCCAAGAACGUUUGGGGUGUUUCUCUCUCAUCACGUGGAAUCUGUGUGCAAUGGAAGCGUCCUGAAAGGGAAAGAGAGGAAAGCAGACGCCUGGUUAGUGGUCAUGACCCUGCCAUGCGGAAAGAAAGGAAGCACAUAGGCUCUCACUGAAAUCCCCCAAAGCUGGAGAGUCCUUGUCACAGGGGAGAAGGAGGCUCCCACAAGGAUGAACACCAGGUCCAAGGAGGUAUCGUUCAGUGGAGAAGCUUGUUUCGAGCAUGAGCUGUGUGUGACACAUGGAGAGUUGAAGGUCCUGGUUAGGCCCCCCUCUGGACACCUGGUGGGAAGUGUGCAGGGCCUGCCAAGCCUCUGUCCCCAGCGGCUUCUCCAGGCAGCAGGCCUUCAUUCUCCCUCCCUGGCUCCGAUCAAGUUUCAGUGAACACUCUGAAUGAGAUUCAUGUGACAUCUGUCAAAUGCUUCUCUAGAAUUCAAGAAAACAUUCCAUCUACUUGUGUUCCUUUGAAGCACUAAUUUUCUUCUGUCAGGAGAAAAGAAAAGAAAGAGGAGGAAAGAAAAAAGCCAUCACGUGUUGCCUGGCAUGAUUUGUGCUUUGCGACCUUCCCCCCCAACCCCCCCGCAACACCCCUAAGACUGUUGUGACUCCCUCCUGGUUUUCUUAUUCUCGGGGAUAUGUGCACAGGCUUCCUCCCUCUGCCUAGUUCUGAUUAUCCUUG